rnacentral:rRNA from 1 species
UACGGAGGGUGCAAGCGUUAAUCGGAAUUACUGGGCGUAAAGCGUGCGUAGACGGUUACAUAAGUCGGGUGUGAAAGCCCCGGGCUCAACCUGGGAAUUGCAUUCGAGACUGCGUAGCUAGGGUGCGGAAGAGGGAAGCGGAAUUUCCGGUGUAGCGGUGAAAUGCGUAGAUAUCGGAAGGAACACCAGUGGCGAAAGCGGCUUCCUGGUCCAGCACCGACGUUCAGGCACGAAAGCGUGGGUAGCAAACAGG